rnacentral:rRNA from 1 species
UGCAUGUCUNAGCACAAGCCGAAAAUGGUGAAGCCGCGAAUGGCUCAUUACAACAGCCUUAGUUUAUUUGAUCUUGAAAUCCUACUUGGAUAACUGUGGUAAUUCUAGAGCUAAUACACGCUAAAAAGCCUCAGUCUUACGGCCGAGGCGCAUUUAUUAGUACAAAACCAAUCGGGCCUUGUGCCCGUUGUUUGGUGAAUCUGAAUAACUGAGCCGAUCGCACGGUCUCUGCACCGGCGACGUAUCAUUCAAGUGUCUGCCCUAUCAACUUUCGAUGGUAGUUUAUGUGACUACCAUGGUUACAACGGGUAACGGAGAAUAAGGGUUCGACUCCGGAGAA